GUGGGGAAUCUUCCGCAAUGGACGAAAGUCUGACGGAGCAACGCCGCGUGAGUGAUGAAGGUCUUCGGAUUGUAAAGCUCUGUUAAUCGGGACGAAAGAGCCUAGUGUGAAUAAUGCUAGGAAGUGACGGUACCGGAAUAGAAAGCCACGGCUAACUACGUGCCAGCAGCCGCGGUAAUACGUAGGUGGCAAGCGUUGUCCGGAAUUAUUGGGCGUAAAGCGCGCGCAGGCGGAUCUGCCAGUCUGUCUUAAAAGUUCGGGGCUUAACCCCGUGAGGGGACCGAAACUGCGAUGCUAGAGUAUCGGAGAGGAAAGCGGAAUUCCUAGUGUAGCGGUGAAAUGCGUAGAUAUUAGGAGGAACACCAGUGGCGAAAGCGGCUUUCUGGACGACAACUGACGCUGAGGCGCGAAAGCCAGGGGAGCAAACGGGAUUAGAUACCCCAGUAGUCC
rnacentral:rRNA from 1 species